rnacentral:rRNA from 1 species
UGCUUUACACAUGCAAGUCGAACGGUAACAGGGAGCUUGCUCCGCUGACGAGUGGCGAACGGGUGAGUAAUAUAUCGGAACGUACCCAAGAGUGGGGGAUAACGUAGCGAAAGUUACGCUAAUACCGCAUACGAUCUAUGGAUGAAAGUGGGGGAUCGCAAGACCUCAUGCUCCUGGAGCGGCCGAUAUCUGAUUAGCUAGUUGGUGAGGUAAAGGCUCACCAAGGCGACGAUCAGUAGCUGGUCUGAGAGGACGACCAGCCACACUGGAACUGAGACACGGUCCAGACUCCUACGGGAGGCAGCAGUGGGGAAUUUUGGACAAUGGGCGCAAGCCUGAUCCAGCCAUGCCGCGUGAGUGAAGAAGGCCUUCGGGUUGUAAAGCUC